rnacentral:SRP_RNA from 1 species
AUCACGGCUGACGUCUGCUGCGAUCUCGGCAAGGGGCCUCGUGGGGAUCUUGGAUGCUGGAACAGUCCCUUCACCUUCGAGACUUGCUGCCCCCCUGCCGUCACGCAGGCCGUUGCGGCCGCUGCGUUCGAGCGGAGCUGCUGGUCGGGACUUGGACCCACCGCUCA